UACGAAAGGGGCUAGCGUUGUUCGGAAUUACUGGGCGUAAAGCGCACGUAGGCGGCCUUGUAAGUUGGGGGUGAAAUCCCGGGGCUCAACUCCGGAACUGCCUUCAAGACUGCAAAGCUAGAGGACGCGAGAGGUUAGCGGAAUUACGAGUGUAGAGGUGAAAUUCGUAGAUAUUCGGAAGAACACCAGUGGCGAAGGCGGCUAACUGGCGCGUUUCUGACGCUGAGGUGCGAAAGCGUGGGGAGCAAACAGG
rnacentral:rRNA from 1 species